rnacentral:rRNA from 1 species
UACGUAGGGUGCGAGCGUUGUCCGGAAUUAUUGGGCGUAAAGGGCGCGUAGGCGGCCAUGGGUGUCUUCCGUGAAAUCCCUCGGCUUAACUGAGGACGUGCGGAAGAAACUGCAAGGCUCGAGUCCGGGAGAGGAGGGUGGAAUUCCCAGUGUAGCGGUGAAAUGCGUAGAUAUUGGGAGGAACACCGGUGGCGAAGGCGGCCCUCUGGACCGGUACUGACGCUGAUGCGCGAAAGCGUGGGUAGCAAACGGG